rnacentral:rRNA from 1 species
AUUGAACGCUGGCGGCAUGCCUUACACAUGCAAGUCGAACGGCAGCGGGGGAGAAGCUUGCUUUUCCUGCCGGCGAGUGGCGAACGGGUGAGUAAUACAUCGGAACGUGCCCUGUAGUGGGGGAUAACUAGUCGAAAGAUUAGCUAAUACCGCAUACGACCUGAGGGUGAAAGUGGGGGACCGCAAGGCCUCAUGCUAUAGGAGCGGCCGAUGUCUGAUGAGCUAGUUGGGGGGGUAAAGGCCUACCAAGGCGACGAUCAGUAGCUGGUCUGAGAGGGCGAUCAGCCACACUGGGACUGAGACACGGCCCAGACUCCUACGGGAGGCAGCAGUGGGGAAUUUUGGACAAUGGGCGAAAGCCUGAUCCAGCAAUGCCGCGUGUGUGAAGAAGGCCUUCGGGUUGUAAAGCACUUUUGUCCGGAAAGAAAUGGCUCUGGUUAAUACCUGGGGUCGAUGACGGUACCGGAAGAAUAAGGACCGGCUAACUACGUGCCAGCCGCCGCGGUAA